GACGAACGCUGGCGGCGUGCCUAAUACAUGCAAGUAGGACGCAGUUGCGAACGGGUGAGUAACGCGUAGGUCAAUGCCGAUUAGAGGGGGAUAACUAUUGGAAACGAUAGCUAAUAACGCAUCCUAAUAGAUGGACCUGCGUUGUAUUAGCGAGUAGGUAGGGUAAUGGCCUACCUAGGCGACGAUCCAUAGCCGAGCUGAGAGGGUGGUCCGCCACACUGGGAAUGAGACACGGACCAGACUCCUACGGGAGGCAGCAGUAGGGAAUCUUCGGCAAUGGGGGGAACCCUGACUGAGCAACGCCGCGUGAGGGAAGAAGGUGUUCGGAUCGUAAAGCUCUGUUGUUAAGGAAGCGGUACUUAACCAGAAAGGGACGGCUAACUACGUGCCAGCAGCCGCGGUAAUAC
rnacentral:rRNA from 1 species